AGUUAGUAAUAACACUUUCUGUAGUAGUGGGUAGCAACCAGGAUACACACAGCAAAACCCCCUCUGAUGCAACCAUUAAUGGCAGUGCUAUGUUUGGCUAACCUUGACAGUCAAGUGAAACAAGAGUAGGAAUAAUAGUGGACAAGCUGUUUCUCCUCAAGAAAUCGGCCAACAUGCCAUUCCCGUUUUUGUUCUAGCGACGC
rnacentral:lncRNA from 1 species